GAUGAACGCUAGCGGGAGGCCUAACACAUGCAAGCCGAGCGGUAUUGUUUCUUCGGAAAUGAGAGAGCGGCGUACGGGUGCGGAACACGUGUGCAACCUGCCUUUAUCUGGGGGAUAGCCUUUCGAAAGGAAGAUUAAUACUCCAUAACAUAUUGAACGGCAUCGUUUAAUAUUGAAAGCUCCGGCGGAUAGAGAUGGGCACGCGCAAGAUUAGCUAGUUGGUGAGGUAACGGCUCACCAAGGCGAUGAUCUUUAGGGGGCCUGAGAGGGUGUGCACCAAAACUGUGACUGCGACACGGACCAGACUCCUACAGGAGGCAGCAGUGAGGAAUAAUGGUCAAUGGGUGCAAGCCUGAACCAGCCAUCCCGCGUGAAGGACGACUGCCCUAUGGGUUGUAAACUUCUUUUGUAUAGGGAUAAACCGACCCUCGUGAGGGUAGCUGAAGGUACUAUACGAAUAAGCACCGGCUAACUCCGUGCCAGCCGCCGCAGUAACAC
rnacentral:rRNA from 1 species